ensembl:lncRNA
AUUAAUGGUAGCAGAGAAGGAACUUUGGAUAUUUCCUAUGGCAUAAAUGGGAAAUAAACAGUUUGGUUUAUUCAGGAAAAUAUUAGUCAUGUCCUCCUUUCUGCUACUAAUGGCUGACAGUGGACAAUGAUGGAUGUUGAAAGCUGUCCUCCUCAAGUCUUCAGGUCGUGAAGCUAAGGCCCAAAGUGAGCAGACUCAUGAUGAAUCCAUUGGGGCCACCAUUAUAAUGAUUCUGAUCUGCAGGCUCGAGUGCAGACUGAGGGGAGGAAAGAAGGGAGAUUCCACGGGAAGGAGGUUAGCUACAGGUCAAGACACUUCACUUAUUGGAAUGUGGACAUUUGGGGAGGAUCACUGGCUGCCAUGUCAUGGAUACACCCAGGAAGUUUCUGGUGAAACCCACAUAUGCGGAUGCGAGACACACAAAUAACCAUGUGAGUAUACUUGGAAGUGGACCUUCUAAGACUGCCAACAGCUGUGAGAAUGAGCUUGGAAAUGAAUUCUCCAGCCCCAGGACUGAAGAUUAUGAGAAAGAUAACAAACAGAUAUGAUGGUGGUACGAAGCAAAGAAUUAAAGAUUCCAGACAGCAGUACCAGGAGGCCAGCAAAGUCCUUGGCAGCAGCCUCUUCCAAUAAAUCAGCAUGUCAGAAGAAACAAUGACCCUUCCCAUGGUACAGGAACAAAACCACAAACUCUCCAAGGUGGACCUGGAACAGAAGUCUCCAAGACAACCUCAAUACAUCUCAUUCCUUUCCCAUUCAUCGAGGGCAAGUACAAGAGGUGAUGGAAUUUCUUCAACUUUAUCAAGAGGCUCACCAAUCCAGAACGACCCUCGGAAACCCAGAUAAAAGAGUGAAUUAAUUGCCCAUUGUAAAUAUCAGUAUCCUUUGGCCAACCCACCAACUGUUAUUCUCUGAUGUGAGUAGUACGAAGAAUUUUUAUUUGGACUGGAAUCCAGGAAGCAAAUAAAAAACACAACAGAUCAUUCCAACUUCCUGACAACAAUCAGGGUGGGAUGGUUUGCUACUGGAAAUCCAAGGGAAACCAGAUCAACUGUGAGAUGUUUUCGAUUUCAUAGAUUUCAGAGAUAAAAGGCAACUUAUACAUCAUCCUGUCCAACCUCCUUGUUUUACACAGGAGAAAAUGUGAACUCAAGAGGCAAAACAACUUGUCCAAUGGCAUGCAACUAGUUAUAUGGCGGAAUUGGAUCUAGUUGCUGGUCUUCUUAUUCUUUUUUCAUUGCUUUUUCCAUAACACAACAUGGCCUCUCUAAUUAUUAACUAUGACCUGGCAUUCCACCACCCAUCACAUAUUUAUUGAGUGCUUACUAUUCACUUACCUAUGUUUUCAGGACCAGCUCAAGGGAAAACGAAUUAAGUCAACAAUAAAGAGCCAUUUAUUAAUGCACACUAUGUCAUUUAAUCCUCACCAUAGCACAUUGAGACUGAGGUAAUUAUGUCUGUGACAAAUGAGGAAAACAAAAUUUGCUUAUGGUAGCUAAUGGAUAGCAAAGCUGUGAUUCAAACUGAAGCUGUCUGACUCUGUAUUCUAAGUUUAUCAUCUUAUACCACGUUGCCUUUCUCAAUCCAGAUCUUUCCAUCUUCAACUUUUCUCCCCCCUUACACACUUAUUUCCACAGGGCCUUUUUCUAAUCCAGUUGUCAAGGAUGGGCCAUCAUUUGGAAAAUUACAAUCUCAAGGAGCUGACAUUCUGGGGCCUACAGACCAAAGACCAUAAACAAGUACAUAUGCAAUAUUUAUCAGUUUGGGAUAAAGGCUAAGAAAGAAAACUAAGCAGUGAAAAGGAGAACCAGACUGAGCAAAGGGAGUGCUAUUUUAGAUGGGGUAGUCAGGGAAGUUUCCUCGGGGGAGGGAACAUUUGAGUAGACGUUGAGUAUGGCAAAGUCCUGGAUGGAGAGGGGAAUGUGGGCAAAGGACUCGGUGGUCACAAAGGGAGAUUUGGGGAGGAGUCAGGAUAGUGUGGUGGUUAAGAGCACUGCUCUAAUGUCAGCGCUCCUGGGAUUAGAUAAUCUCCUGGAUCCUUUGAUUGGACAUAGCAAUCAUGAGCAAACAUGAACAAGUUUUCUUAUAUUCUCUGGACCUCAAUUCCCCCUUCUCUGAAAUGGUUCUAAUGACAGUACUCACUUCUUGGGUCAUGUGAGGAUUAACUGAAAGCAAUGUCUGGUUCACAAUAAACAAUAAAUAUCAGCU